rnacentral:pre_miRNA from 1 species
AAUAAAUGUAUUUUUAUCGUUCAUAUUCAAUGUUUGACAUCGUCUUAUUUGAAAAAAUUUUAUAAUUAGUAUUUUUAUUGUUAUUAGAUAAUAAAACAUAAAUAUUACUUUAUGUGUGACUUUUUUUUAAAAAAAUCAUAAUUUUAUCAAACAAGAUGGACGGUAAAACGUUGGACACGGAUACCCAUGACUGCACUAGAC